AGUUUUCAUGCAUUACUGCCUGCUGCCAUUUGUUGUGGGCUUUAACCGUUUAAGUUUUCAUUAUUUCAUACGUACUGUAUGAGGCCUUGGCGCCUUGCUGGCAUCUCAAGAUAACAACACUAUUUUUCCUUUCACGAAAAUGGCAGGAGCUCGGCCGUUCAAUUAAGAAGGAAUAGAGGUUUAUGGUUAUAUGAUACAAAUGGCGGAUCUAGUUUUCUGAUUCGUUAUCUCCGCCGGGUGUAAGUGAUGUAUGUGCGUUUUCUA
rnacentral:lncRNA from 1 species